GACGAACGCUGGCGGCGUGCUUAACACAUGCAAGUCGUACGGUAAGGCCCUUUCGGGGGUACACGAGUGGCGAACGGGUGCGUAACACGUGAGUAACCUGCCCACAACUUUGGGAUAACGCUAGGAAACUGGUGCUAAUACUGGUUAUGUGCUCCUGCUGCAUGGUGGGGGUUGGAAAGCUCCGGCGGUUGUGGAUGGACUCGCGGCCUAUCAGCUUGUUGGUGGGGUAGUGGCCUACCAAGGCGGCGACGGGUAGCCGGCCUGAGAGGGUGACCGGCCACAUUGGGACUGAGAUACGGCCCAGACUCCUACGGGAGGCAGCAGUGGGGAAUAUUGCACAAUGGGCGCAAGCCUGAUGCAGCAACGCCGCGUGCGGGAUGACGGCCUUCGGGUUGAAAACCGCUUUCAGCAGGGACGAAGCUUUUUGUGACGGUACCUGCAGAAGAAGCACCGGCUAACUACGUG
rnacentral:rRNA from 1 species